ACAUCUGGCUCCUGGCCUCGACCCUGGCUAGGCCGAGCCAAAUCCCCUAGCCACCGCCGCACCACUCGCCGCCGCGGCCGACCUCAACCCGCCCACCACCGCGCACGCACCUCUGCCCGCUCGCGAGCCUCCACCCGCGCGCUCCGCUCUGCGACGCCUGCGCCGCAGCGCGCGCCGCCCUCCGCUCUGCGACGCCUGCGCCGCAGCGCGCGCCGCCCUCCGCUGCCAAAUCGGCGCCCCCGGGGCCACGCUCUGCGCCGGCUGCGCCGACUGCCGCGCGCCGCUGGAAGGCGGCGGUGGAGCCUCCCUCGUGGAGGAUUACACCGGCUGCCCCACGCUUUCCGAGAUCCUCCGCAUCCUCUCCGUGAAGCGCCGUCGGCGCGGGAGGACUUCGAUGCCUGGCUCGCCGACAACCUCCUCCAAGUCCUACAGGAGGUUCAGAUGUGUGUAUCAAGGACACACGGAUCCAUUGGCCUGCGUACCACACAUCCCUUCACUAAUUCCAUCAGUGUCAUUCUUAACAAGGUAAGUAUGAUUCCCCCAUCCCUGAUUUUCUUAAUUGAUCUUUGAUCCUUGAUCCCUAAUGUCGUUACAUUUUAUUGAUUCUAUAAACGAUCUCAAACAGGAACAUACCAUGAUUUAGAUGGAACCAUUUUUUAGGCUACAAUUCCUAUAACUUUCCUUGUCAAUUUGAUAAAAUUACAUGUGUGAUGGAGGUUGUAACCUAUUACGGUUUACAUUGUCAGAAUUCUUCAAGACCCUCUGUCGGUCCUCACUAUCUUUGAAACAAUCUGAUUUCUGUGUCAUUGCUAAACAUAUGUAUAUAUUUGGUGUGCUGGAUUUUCUGAUGUAGAUGCUAUAUAAGAGGAAGCUAUUCGACAAUCCUGCCCAAGUUGGUACGGAUUAGCUCGAUUUUAUUCAGUAAAUAUUUAUGCUUGAUAGAUACAAGCCUCCCUCUUUUGCCCUUCUUUUCUCCAUCCUCUGCAGGUCUCCAGCACAUGGGAAUCGUUGUCGUCAGGAGCAUGCUUGUGACAUCAUUACAAUACGUAAUGCAGGGCAAAAGGAUGUUGUCAGGAAUAAAAACUAAUUUAAUAAUUUCCUAUUCUUUUUCCUUGCCCGUUUCCGCCGUCAUAUACACUAUAUGUCCCACUGUAACGCACAGCCAAAUUUGUAUUCUUGACAGUUUUAGUCAUCUCUGCUGCAGCUAAGUGUUCAGUUGCAAUCUCUAGCCAAGUUCCCUUUGUUGUUGUGUUGAAUUUGAGGAAAGGCGGCCAAGCAGCUCGUGGCAGCUGUGUCGCGCCUGCUUCACCGCUGCCUUGACUUGCCGACGACGUCGCCGGUUGAGCCGCAGGGGUGCAAGAUCGUCGUGGGACCCAUUGCCAUGGGCGCCGAGUAUGCUUGAUUGCCAUGUCGGAGGCAAAGCUCCUAGAGCUUGGUGUGUGACAAGUCGUGUGAGAUGAAGGUGGUGAACCGUCUCAAUGUUAAGCCAAGUAUGUGGAGGAUAUGCCAUGGAUGAUGUGGACAGGUAAGGGUAAAAGUUUGAGCUGUCAAUUUUUGUGUGAUCGAGCUCCUGUAUGGUCAAACCUAAAAAGUUCAGUGAAGAUUCAGAUUACAUAUGGAUUCCUUUUGUUGCCUACAAUGCUAUAAUCACGCUCAACUAUGUGCAUGGAGUACCAGAGAUGAUGCAAAAAUUGCUUGCCGAUAGGCAGCUGGGCGCAUGCAUAAUUGUCGAGGAGGCCGAAGCCAACGCUAUUCUGGUUUGACUGAAUAACGUAUCCUGAGGCUCCCUUGUGGUGGAGAUCGACUAUGCAGAGGGGAAAGGAGCUAGGGGCUGAUUCUGUAAGCAGAUCAUUGUCCUACCCAAUUAUUGUUGAUAUUAAAUCUGCCUUGAAUAAAUAUCACAUCAGGACUGUCAGAAGGACAAACAAUGGGCUGGCUCAUGAACUAGCCAACUUUUCCAAAGCUCAUGGAGACUUUGUGGUUGCGGAUGGUGUCCCAGACCAACUACAUGAUCUACUCCGGAAGGAAAAUGAUGCAGCCUUAGCGUCGGUAUCAGGCAUUUUGAUGGAUGUAAAGCGGACUUGAUUGUCUGUGAUGGCGCCCCUGAUUUAGAUCUCAGAUACUUUUUGGACGUAAUUUGCAGUACCCAUAAGAUGCAGUGUCCAAAAAUAAUGCUACCUUAACCCUGCAGUUUAUGUUUAGUAUUCUACCUUAAAAUGUUUACUUUUGGCGCAAUAGCUUCUUUGGAUUUUUAUAUUGAACAUUGGACCAUUUUUACUCAACCUUUGGAUAAUUUGUUGCUGUUUAUGUUGUAGAACAACACAUGUAACACAAUGGUUCCACUAACUUGUUAUAUUUUCCACUAAUGUCCUUCCUGCUUCCAUCUACAUUGCUGCCCCAUCACUCCUCUACCAAAUCCCAGCUUCAUGGUGGAUUCAUCUACAGGUAGUUAAUCUCCUAGCGCCGAAUCACUGCACAGCUGCACAUGAAUUGUUAUGGACCAUUUGUUUUCUUCAGGAAUCCACACCUACGGCAGUUCUCCUAGAAACCAUCUGCCCGAAGUUCAUCUCCCUACCACUCUAGUUUGUGACAGAACAGAGAAUUGUUACAGCUGAGAUCAUAGACAAAUCUUAUGUUGCAACAACAGGUUUGGAGGUUAUGCUGAGAAUUAAAAUGUCAAGGUUCAAAAAAUAGAUGCUUCAAGUAUUUAAUCUCUUCCAAAUACUCUUAUCAUGUUCCUUUCAGUGGUUAGAGCCCACAACUAAGAUAUGUUUGCUUCACACUCAUGCUUGUAAUACGCCUAUAUGGUUUCUUAUUUCAUCAUGUCCACGUUUGUAAUUCACUGGUGCUUGACCGAUAGUAGAGGUUAACCUUUUUUUUUUUUGAGCCAAAGCUUCCAGUAUUGUACUAAUUAUCUGUGCUCUUUGGUGCAGCGCUCACUCAACAUAUUGAUAUGUAAGUCAAUUUUAACAAAUAACUCUUUGCUUUGUCGUGGUGCCACAAAUACAUCAGACUUAUCUGCACCUAGAACCGAAUAUUUGAUUCUUUUUGCCUGCAUGUCAACGUUAUCGAAAAUGAUGUGCAUAGUUAUCCAGUUAGUUUUGUGAGAACUGAUAUGAUAAACUACUGGAACCAAUAGGAUAAACUAUAGUAGUACUGUUGCAUUGGAACACAUGAUUCUCUGGUUGAUAUUUCGCAUGAUGCUUGCAUUCAAUAUAUAGAAUCCUGCACCACAAACCAUAUGUUUGUGAUCCCUAUAUGGUGUUCCAGUGGUGAAAACUGGAGCAUAUACUAUGUUCAAAUAAUUUUUGUUACACAUCAGGCAUACAUUGGAUGGACGAACCAUACAAAUAGGAGUCAAUCUGAUAUGGUUUAGUUACAUAUACUUUUUUGUUUUCUUCUGUUGUGUAGUCAUCUCUUAUAGUGACCACUAAUUAGUACAUAUAAAUUCAAUUUUAUGAUCACUGUUAAUAUGAACAAGAUUCUUGCUCUAUGUCAUUUAUGGUUAGUGAUAUGUAACAGUGAGAUGCACUAUUUUUUUCAUCCUGCUAGCAAAGCAUCAUUUUUGUUUUCGAGAAGAUUUGAUGAUAGUGCAGCUUAUAAACUUACUCCAGAAUGGACCGACGUUAAUAAUUCUUUUUCAGAUAUUGGUCAAUAGAUUUGGCGAUUUAACUCCCUUGAUAUUUUCAGUUGCUUUGGUUUUGUACCUAGAUUCGACUAUAUUUAGGCUGCACACAGUACAAGCUAUAUUCAGAUGUACAGGAUGGUAGACGUGCAUAUCAUGCUGGUUUUCUACUCUACAGUUUUGCACACCCAUGGUGUCAAUUUUUAACAGGAUGGUAGACGUGCAUAGUCUGGAUUAUAAGAUGUUUCAAUGCAUGCGAAUAUGGCCUGAUUUAUUAACAAAGAACUCUAUAUGCUACUACUGUAUGUGAAAUGCAUGUGUUUGCUGGACAAUUGUUAUUAUUUUUAAUGACAGUUCUAUAGGCCUUGUUGGACAAGCAAA